UACAGAGGGCUCGAGCGUUAAUCGGAAUCACUGGGCUUAAAGCGUGCGUAGGCUGACCCGCAAGCAUCUUGUGAAAUCCCAUGGCUCAACCAUGGAAUUGCUUGGUGAACUGCGGGUCUUGAGGAUGGUAGGGGCUGCCGGAACUCUAGGUGGAGCGGUGAAAUGCGUAGAUAUCUAGAGGAACGCCAAAGGUGAAGACAGGCAGCUGGGCCAUCUCUGACGCUCAGGCACGAAAGCAUGGGUAGCGAAC
rnacentral:rRNA from 1 species